rnacentral:lncRNA from 1 species
AAAAGUACUAGCUAUUGUAUUUAUCUACCGUUGGAUGUUUAUUUGAAAUUUGUCUAUCUUGGUGUAGACGUAUGUUUAUGGUGAUCUCUAUCGUUAUGACAUCGAAAAGAAUGAAUGGAAGCAGAUUUCUAGUCCUAAUAGCCCACCUCCCCGCAGUGCACACCAAGCAGUUGCUUGGAAGGAUCAUCUAUAUAUGUUUGGUAAGUUAAGCUGUACUUGAAGUGCUAUUAUUUAAUGACAUGAACAUAUUAUUUAAUCAAAUUAAGUUGUAAUAUACAAAUAAAUACCACUAAGUGAAUUUUAAGAUGCUUAAUUACCCUUGAAAAUUUCUUAAGGUGUUUCCUUUUAAUCGUCUGUUUUUGAAUUUGAAUGUUAUCAAUUUCAGUAUUCUUUAUUUCUUUCUUUCAUCUGUUGUAUUAUAUUUUCUCUAUAGGAGGUGAAUUUACAUCCCCAAACCAAGAACGUUUUCAUCACUACAAGGUAUCUCUUUUUAAUAUUAUGUGGUAGCAACAUGAAUCAUUAAUUCUCAUUCUUAAUCAUCAUACUGUGUGAAAUUGGAAAUUGAAGAAAAUCUAUUUUAUGCAAUCAAUCAAUCAUUCAUAUAUAAAUAAUGUUAUGAAUCUUAUGAUCAAUGGCAACAUACCCAAAUUUACUAUAAAGAAUGUGCCAUAUUAUUCUUAACCAUUUUGACAGUUUAUGUUUUAUUUAAUACUGAAUUACUACUUUCAAAACAGCAUAUGCUUUUUUUUCUUGAUUGCAUAGGAUUUUUGGACACUGGAUCUUAAAACAAACCAAUGGGAACAACUACUUUUGAAAGGAUGUCCAACUGCACGCUCAGGACAUCGCAUGGUAUGUCUCUUUUUAUUUGCUACUUUAGUGCUUACACCAGUGGCUGGUACUUGCCUAUUCCAUAAUUCCCUUUUUACUUUCGUUUUUAUAAUAGUUGAUUGGAAAAUAAAUAAUGUUAAAUCUUACAUAGGUCAAACAUUCCUAAUUCACAUAGUAUAUUGAUGCAAUACAAAGUGGUCUUGGUUAUGCAUCCAAGGACUUAAUUGGAAAUGACCAAGUGGAAGGUAAUUGGCUUGACCAAGGUCAAGCCAAUUCAUAUCAUUUCUAGGGAAUAUUUAACUCACAUUAUUGGGUUGCUCAUUACCAAUAAUGUGAAUAUAAAUACAAUGGGCCCUUGAGAGGAAGAUCAGUUUAGAAUAUUGUGCAAUCAAGGUAUUACGUUAAUUAAUGAAAUAUUGCAAAAUCAAGUAGAGAAAUUGAUGGACUGAUCAUACCAUCCAUUAGCCCUUGUGCAGUUCCAGCCUUAUUGGUACCCAAAAAAAAUGGUGAGUGGAGAAUGUGUGUUGAUUGCAGAGCUAUCAACAAAAUCACAGUGAAAUAUAGAUUUCCUAUACCAAGGUUGGAGGAGUUGUUGGAUGUGUUGCUAGGAUCUAAAUAUUUUACAAAAUUAGAUAUAAAAAGUAGUUAUCAUCAAAUAAGGAUAAAAGAAGGGGAUGAGUGGAAAACUGCCUUCAAAACCAGCAAGGGGAUUAUAUGAGUGCCUAGUCAUGCCCUUUGGCAUGUCCAAUGCCCCCUCCACUUUUAUGAGAUUAAUGACAGAAGUCCUAAAGCCUUUAAUUAACAAAACGGUGGUGGUUUACUUUGAUGAUAUAUUAAUAUACAGAAAAGAUAAAGAAACACAUAUUGAGGAUAUAAGCAAAGUAUUACAGUUACUGGAUGAAAAUCAUUUGAAAUUGAAUUUACAAAAAUGUGAUUUUAUGGUUCAUGAAGUGCAUUUUUUGGGAUAUAUAGUUGGUGCUAGUGGACUGAAAGUGGAUCCUGCGAAAACAGAAGCAUUGAGAAGCUGGCUGUCUCCAACCAAUGUAACUGAAGUAAGGAGUUUCUUGGGGUUGGCCUCUUUUUAUAGGAGGUUCAUCAGGGACUUUAGCACCUUAGCUGCUCUAAUAUCAGACUGUCUGAAAAAGGGAGCAUUUUAGUGGACAAAAGAGGCAGAACAAGCCUUUAGAAAAUUGAAAGAGAAAUUACAGAAAACACCAGUACUGAGCCUGCCAGAUUUUUUCAAAAUAUUUGAAGUUGAGUGUGAUGCUACUAGCAUAAUGGGAGUAGGGACUGUUUUAACUCAGGAAGGACACCCAGUGGCCUUCCACAGUGAGAAAUUAUCUGUGGGAAGGAGGAAUUGGACCACCUAUGAACAAGAACUGUAUGCAGUGGUCAGAGCAUGCAAGACAUGGGAACCCUAUCUAUUGCAGAAUGAGUUUGUUAUAAAGACUGAUCACAUGGCACUUAAACAAGUCAAUAACUCUAAGGGAACAAAUAGAAUGCAUGCAAGGUGGAUUUCAUUUUUACAGAGGUUUCACUUCACACUGAAGCAUAGAACAGGAAAUAGCAACAGAGUGGCAGAUGCCUUAAGUAGAAAGAACAAUUUGCUAACUAUCUUAAGAGCUAAGAUAGUAGAGUUUGGAAAAAUAAAAAAAUUGUAUGAGAAGGAUGUUGACUUAUGUGACAAUGGAGAAACAGGGGGGAAUUAUAGACUGCAGGAAGGCUUUCUUUUUAAAAAAAAAACAGAUUGUGUUUUCCAGCUGAUCCACUCAGAAGGCAGUUAAUUGAGAAUUUAUAUUCAGGGGGGUUGGCAGGGCAUUUGGGCAGAGAUAAGGUGAUUGCAGAGUUGAAAAACAGAUUCUACUGGCCCAAAAUGAGUGAGCAAGCAGAACAGUUAGUACAAAGCUGCCAAGUCUGUCAAGAAGCAAAGGGGACUAAACAAAAUACAGGAUUAUAUAUACCUUUACCAGUACCAACUGAGCCUUGGACAGAGAGCUAUAAAUGGAUUUUAUUCUUGGGACUACCAAAAACAAAAACUGGAUUUGAUUCCAUAUUUGUAGUAGUCGAUAGGUUUUCGAAAAUGUCACACUUCUUACCUUGCAAAAAGAGCAAUGAUGCAGUAUAUGUGGUACAAUUAUUUUUUAAAGAAAUUGUGAGACUACAUGGAGUUCCCCAAAGCAUAGUGUCAGACAGAGAUACCAAAUAACAUGGUAAACAGGUUAACAGGAUUGAACCCAUUCAUUGCAGCUUAUGGACAUCAACCAAAACAAGCAAUAGAUAUUUCUUAUGUUCCCUGCAGCCAGCCAGCAAUAAAUGAAAUGAUAGAAAAAAAUAAAGAAAUUUACAAGAAAGUGGAGGAGGCACUGACUGAAGCAAACAGAAAAUACAAGCUUCAUUCAGACAAGAAGAAAAGACAUCAGGAAUUCUUUAUUGGGGAGAUGGUAAUGGUUCAUAUCAGCAAAGAAAGAACACCGUCUGGAACAUAUUCUAAGCUGAAGGCCAGAAAUCAUGGACCAUUCAAAUUACUGAAAAAAAUCAAUGAUAAUGCCCGUCAUUGACCUACCAGACAGAUACAAUAUGUCAAAGUCUUUCAAUGUCUGUGAUAUUAGAAAGUACUACCCUGAACAGCAGCAAGAUAAUCAAUUGGGGUCAAUUGAUCCUAUAGAAGGGGCGCAUGAUGCAAUAUAAAGUGGUCUUAGUUAUGCAUCCAAGGACUUAACUGGAAAUGACCAAGUGGAAGGUAAUUGGCUUGACCAAGGUCAAGCCAAUUCAUAUCAUUUCUAGGGAAUAUUUAACUCACAUCAUUGGGUUGCUCAUUACCAAUAAUGUGAGUAUAAAUACAACUGGCCCUUGAGAGGAAGAUCAGUUUAGAAUAUUGUGCAAACAAGGUAUUACCUUAAUUACUCCUCUCUCUCGUUGCUGAAUAUCUUCUACUUUUUCUUGCUUUUCUUACCACUACCUUCACUAUUAUCCACUGUUCUUAGAUCUAGAUCACAAACUUGGUGGAUUCCAAGCCCCGAUCUGGUCAUUGUGAGGAAGAUAUCCAUCUCUAUCACUGUUUUCGUUUGUCUACUGCAUUGGAGAGUUUCCACCUACAUCAUAUAUUCACUAUAUUGGUAGCGGGUAACAAACCGACUCAAUUCAAUUAUGAUGGUUGUUGCAGUCCCACAUUUUAGUCUGUUCUACUCUGUUCUCAGUAGAUUAACUUUUGCCUUGACUUUUUUAUUUGUUCUCUUUCAAAUUUAUUAACAAUGACGAUGCUUGAGUUCAUUUUUCAAAUUAUGUUUUGCUUUUGCAUAAUAAAGAUAUAAUAUCUUAUUUGCAUGUUUUACAACAUAUUUUUUGCGUAUAUAUAUUUAUUAUUUAGCAUUUUAGCUUUAUAUUUUUCAACAAUUCAUCAUGACAAUAAUUAUUGCCAUUUGCAAGCUGUGGAAGUAUUGAUCAGUUUUAAAUUUAUAUGUUCAUACAAUUUCAUCUGUGUCAGGUGUUAUACAAGCAUAAAAUUAUUGUCUUUGGGGGCUUCUACGAUACUCUUAGAGAAGUGAGGUUGUUUUUGCCAUUAUUACUUCAGGAAGUCAUUUUUCUAGCAUACUCUUUUUCUAGCAUACUUUAUGUUCACGUCUUUUUCCCCCUAUUGAAGUAGUGAAAUUCUGACAGUAGAAGAAUCGAUUGAAGAAGAUCAGUAAAUUCUUCUUUAAUAGUAGUAACAAUGAAUUGUUCUCCUUAACUUGGAAUCCACCAGGGAAGGAGAAUGAUCAGAUCUGAUCACAUCUUUUGAUAUAAAACAAAGAUGAAAUAGAAGAAUAACAACAAGUAGAAUUCCAGGUGGAGGGAAAAGAUUACUUCUGGUAAAGCAAAAUGAUAAAAAAUUCCCUCUUUCCUUGGGUGCACUGAGUAUUUAUACCCACAAUGUGGCUGAUUGAUAAUUCUACAUUGUCAGUUAAAAAGGCUCAGGUAUUGAGCAUGGUGGAUCUGCUAUGACUCUCUAAGCCUUACACUUGAAAUGAUUUCUAUAAACUUGAUUAAAUGGAGAACUAAGAUUUAAGUUUCUCUGCAUCACCUGUACCAUAUUUUCAAAUAGCGUUUUGCCUUAGCCGGAUCUGAGUAUGGAUCUGCUCGAAUAUCAUUAAUUUUUUUUAAUCUGUUUUAAAAAUAGAUCAGGGCUCCCAACGGUCAUACUCUCCUUCUUCCUCCACCAGUCAUCUUUUUUCCAUUGGCUAGGCUUCCUCCCGGCGAGCUCCGACCUGCGACCUUCUUCUCUGGUGACCUCAGGUGACAUCCAGGGAACAGUUUUUUCCGACCAGAACUUUCAUUUUUGUAGGAACAUCAUUUCCUUGAGUUUUUCUGUUUUUUGUAACUACUAUUAUAUAUAUGAGGGUUAUUUUUGGGUAGCCCCUUAAACUAAUUUGUGAAGAUGCCCCUUACAUUGAGUUCACAUACAUGUAUUUACAUUUUACAAGUUGAAUAUUGCAAAGAAAAUAAAAAUAGGGUAAACGCUAUAACACUCCUAUAGCCGUUAAACCUGUAAUCUGGAAUAGCUCUACCAACGACUGCUGUGCCGCUAUUUGCUAUUUAGAAAUUAGAAGUAUGACCUAUACCACUUGAAUAUUAUCUGAUCCUCUUUCUCUUACAAAGAGAUUUAUAUUUGUUACUUUUUAGUUAGGUGUCUCAUUUCAGUCUCUCUCUCUAGGUAUUACAAUGACUUGUUUGUAUUCGAUUUGGAUCUCUUCAAGGUAAAUAUUUUAGAUGAUUUUUUGGAAAUCUUCAAUAUUUCAUAUGUAUCUGAAUGUUUUAUGGUUGAACUUUCACUUGCAGUGGCAAGAAAUAAAACCCAAGCUUGGGUGUAUGUGGCCAACUCCAAGGAGUGCUUUUCAGCUCUCUGUUUUUCAAGAUGAGGUAGCUAGAACCUUCAUACUUUCAUUAUUUUUUAUUUUUCACUUCCUCCAUUUAUUUCUGACUUCUGAUUGAUUGUAAAUCAUAAUUGAAUAAAUUGUCAUUUUUUUUUUACUACACUUUCUUAUUUUAUCAUUUUUAUGUAGUCUAUUUUUGAAGCAGAAUAUAAUAACUUAUGUCACAUUUUAUUUUCUCAGUUCUUCUUCUUCUGGAUUUGUAUUCUGCAGAUUUUGUUAUACGGUGGAUAUUCUAAAGUUGUCUCGUCUGCUACUAAUAGUUCUGAAAAGGGAAUCGUUCAUUCAGAUAUGUGGUCUCUUGAUCCUAGGACUUGGGAAUGGAGCAAGGUUUGUUAUGUGGUGGAACAUUUAAUUCACUGACAAUUGACAGAUAUUCGUCGCUAUGGAAUUUUUGAGAUUUACACCUAAUUAUUCUGUAAACAGGUUAAGAAAGGUGGAAUGCCACCUGGACCUCGUGCUGGGUUUUCUAUGUGCUUGCACAAGAAAAGAGCUGUAUUAUUUGGAGGUGUUGUUGAUAAAGAAGUAGAGGGUAAUUCUACACUUAUAUACUUCCAGGAUAUUUCUUUUCAUUUUUUUUGUUGUAAUAAAGAUUGAAAGGCCAGGAUAUAUAUAUAUUUAAAUUAUAGGUAGUAUUAGGGAUGACAUUUUUGGCUUUGUGAUUCUCAUUUAAUGGUUGAAGUACUUUUGAAAUAAUACUAGUUGUUUCAAAAUUCACACUUUGAUGGUAAUCUCAAGGCUUAAAUCACCAUGUUGAGUGUGAUAAUUAACCUUGCUUUUAUCAACAUGGACAAAAUAUCUUUGAAGUGGAAUUGAUUUUUUGAAUAAAAUAACUUUAAUUAUUAUUCAUGUUUGUUUAUUUUAGGUGAUGUUCUGCUCAGCUUAUUUCUGAAUGAGCUCUAUGGUUUCCAACUAGACUGUCACCGUUGGUAUAUUCUGUCGCUUAUACUUAUUUAAUUUCUUUUCUUUUUGGGUAACUUUUAUCCAAAUAAAAGCAUUUCAGUCAAGUUUCAAUAUUAUGUUUGCUCUAUAUUCUGUUUUGAGAGUCCAAUAUUAAAUCUUUAAAUAUCAUUUAUUAGCCUAAAAUAUAUAUGUAUGUUUUACAAUUUUCAUAAAUUUAUAGUUUACAGACACUAUUGGCUACACUAGAGGGUAAUACAAGAAGUUAAUCUUCAAUAAAGUUUUUUUUAAAUAAAUUUCUUGGAAUUUAUAACUUUAUAAAUUUUAUAACAUAUAUCAAAUGAAUAGCUUGACUACUUCUGCUUAUAAUACUAAAUAUUGGUUCCUGUAGACUAAUUUUUAUUUUAUUUGUAUAGGUACCCUUUGGAGCUAAGAAAGGAUAAACCAAGUAAAGACAAGGUGUGUGUGUGCAAAUAUAGUCGUAAUUUAUUUCUAAUUUUCUAUGGUUGUAUAAUUACGGAUUGCAUAUUUACAGGGAAGAAAUGCCUUUGUAAUAUUAAAUUCAGCAGUUUACUGUUUGUAAUCUCAUCAUUCUGGAGUCUGGACAAUAGUUUUCAGAAAAAGGUUUUGCUAAUUUUUUUCUUGUUGAAUUUCUUUUUUAAGUCAAAAGGAGGCAAGAAAUCAGAAAGCAUUUCCAAUGAAGUCGACAGUGAAAAUGUCACAAAUCGUGACAAAAAUGAGAUCAUUCCUAAAUCUGUAGGUGGCCAUGAUAGUAUUAUUGAAGUUACUCAUUCUAUGAGCCAGGAUCUUUCUAUCAAUGAUUGUGUAGUUACUGAUAGAAAUACAGUUCAAAUAAAUGGAAAUUUUAAACUCCAAGUGUGCUCAUCAAAUGAGGUCAGUUGCAGUAAAGUUUAAUGCCAUUUUAUUACUGGUGUAUUACUCUAUCAUAACAAUUCAAUUUUAGGCAGUGAAACCUUGUGGACGUAUCAAUUCUUGUAUGGUCGUUGGAAGAGAUACAUUAUAUCUUUAUGGAGGUAUGAUGGAAAUCAAAGAUCAAGAAAUCACACUUGAUGAUCUUUAUAUGUUAAAUCUUAGUAAACUUGACGAAUGGAAGUGUAUCAUACCGGUAUAUUUAAAUUUCAGUCUUUCAUUUGCUACUUUAAAGAUAUUACCCAUGAUUGCUAUUUUUUGCUAUUUCAAGUUUAAAAUGCUUAUUUGAAUUCAUUGCAUUUCAACCAGGCUUCGGUAUCUGAAUGGGUAGAAGCUUCUGAUGAGGAUGAAGACGAUGACAGUGAUGCUGACGACGAGGAUAGCUACAGUGGAAGCAACAAUGAAGAGUCGGAUGAUGAUGCAAAUGAGGUAAUGAGUAUAUGCUGUUGGUGUUUACGUGGUUUUGAAAACAUCGUUUUAUUAAGUUAACAAGCACUCUCUCCAGUUUCAAUAUUGAAUAUUAUUCCUUUUGAGAUUUUUUUCCACUUUAUUUCUUUUGGAGGUUUGUUCAUUUCUAACUCAUUUAAAUGUUAUCUUUGUGAACUUCUUAGGGUGGUGAUGUUGAAAGUGCUGUAGCCUUACUCAAAGGUGAGAAAAAGAGUCUACGCAGAAAAGAGAAGAAGGCCAGGAUAGAGCAAAUAAGAGCUACACUUGGUCUUUCGGAUUCCCAAAGGACUCCUGUGGUAACAUUAAUAACGAUCUGUCCUUUUGGAUUUAUCUGUCUAUUCAUGCAAUUGAUUUUUUAAAAUAUUACUAUGUUUCAUUGUAGCCAGGAGAAUCUCUGAAAGAUUUUUACAAGAGGACAAGUUCGUAUUGGCAAAUGGCGGCAUAUGAACACACUCAACAUACCGGAAAGGUUAUUAUUAUUCUUUAAAAUCAUAAUAAUAUGUCGGUGUCUCUCCUGGUAGUAACAUUACACAUGCAGUUGUUUACUGUUUUAUAAUAUGAAGUCUUAAUUUACCUUCUUGCCCGUGAUUUUAUAUUUCUAUUUUGCUCCCAUUUAUAUUCAAAUAUUGGCCACAAUCUAUUUAGGAACUGCGCAAGGAUGGUUUUGAUCUUGCCGAGUAUCGUUUCAAGGAAUUGAAACCUAUACUUGAUGAGGUCAGUCAGUCAGUCGGUCUUUAAAUCUAUGCAUGAUUUCAAAUACGUAUUUUUGUGACAGUAUCUAACUCUGUUCUUACUGUUUGUUUGUGUGUAUGUAUUAUAUUAUAUUCAUCAGCUGGCCAUACUGGAAGCUGAACAGAAGGUUGAAGAGGAAGAAAUAGGUGAAAGUAGUAGUAGAAAAAGAGGUGGGGGUGAUAAGAAAACCAAGCGUUAAUCAUUUUAGAAUUAAAUGGUGUGUUUGAAUUUAAAACACCCCCAUUUAUAUUUCAGUUUAUUGGUUGAAUAUUUUUUAAAAUUUUGGUUGUCUAAUUGUCUUGUGUUUUCAUCAUUCUAUUAGCUACCUGUCUGCAAAUUAUAUGAAAAGUUUAUGUAAUUUCAUCAUUCUAUUGGGUCUUGUAUUUUAAGCAAGUUGCUCUAAGUUUUCGAAAUUUAAUCCAAAAAAUUAAAAAUAAUUUGGAGAUGGCCAAAGAAAGAAAUCUAUUAUUAGAACAUGGUUAUAAAAACAAUAAUGACCAUGAUAAUGACUAAAACAGGGAUUCUUGUAGUGUUUUAUUUUUACAUCCAAUUGAAGAGUUUUAGUUUUAACAGAAUGCUAGAUGAGAAAGGAGACGGAAAAGACAGGAUGAGUCUGGAGUCUGGACCGAACGAAAGCCUCUUUGGAUUAUAGAUUGAAAACUAUAUAGAGGGUAUUAGUUAGUUUUUGUUUGCAUUUUUCAAAUUUAAAGCGAAUGUAUUUAAAAAACAGUUGUUAAUAAUAAUAUAUGACAAAUAAAUGAUUGUCUCAGUUAAAUCUUUAUAUAAAUAUAUAAGUGUAUAAAUGAAAAUUACAAGCUAUAUGCCAACGAAUUCGAGUGACUCAUUUUUUUUGUAUCAUUUUCUAUUAUUUAAUCAACUAAAAUCGAAAAGUAAAUCUUAAAUUAUAACUACUUACCAAAUCAAUUUGCAUUAAUUAUGAAAUGUAUGGUGUGCGUUGAGAGUAAAUUUUUUAGUAGAUAUACUCGUCUAACUUGAAUGUCUUAUUUGUUAGCUUUGGCCAUGAAAAUAACAAGCUAUAUGCCAACAAAUUCGUUCAACCGUCAAACUCAAUAAUAAGGCUAUAAGAGCACAUGCGAGGGGGUAGAGUGAGAGGCGGAAGAGGACGACUGUUUUAUUUUUUUUGGGUGUCAUUUUCUAUUAUUUAAUAACGUAGGACCAGUGGAUCAGUGGUCACGUAACUCACGUUGCGUGGGUGGUUGGAAAUUAUAAUGAUCGAUGGUUUAAUUAUUGAUGCUGCUUCAUGUCAAUUUUUGGAUCAUUACGAAGGUGAGUCAUGUUCAAAAAAAAAACCUGUGGGUGAUGGUUGAUUGACUAUUCCUUUAAAUGGUUCUUUAGAGGGGUAGGCGUGACGAACUCGAUCCGAACAUGUCGGGUUCGGUGGAUAUUUUCGACCAUAAAACCCGGCGAACUCGAAUUUUUUUAACCCUUUUAGGUUUGGGUUUAAAUUUUUUAUAAAAAAAACCUUAAAAUAUAAAUAAUUAUAUAAAUAAAAUUUUAUUGUAUAUAAAAUAUUUUAUUAAAAUUUAAUAUACACAUUUAUUAAAAUUUUCUUCUUCUUUUAAAAUUUAAACCCUAAUACUAUUAUUAUUUUCUUAUAUAUUCUCUUCCAUUUUCAUCUUUUCUCUUCUCACCGUCGUUUUCGCCUAAUAAUUAUUUAAUAUUUUAAAAAUAUCAAACCCGGACCCGACAUCCAAAUCGAUUUCUGGUUAUAUAAUUUUAGAUGUUCCCAAGUUUUAACCCGAACCCGAUUUCAAAACUCGAUUUCGGAUCAGGACAAAUCCGAGUCAAAUCUAACCCAUAUCCAUUCCUAGUUCAUUAUUCAUAGCUCACAUUUAUUUAAUCUUAUUUAAUCAUAUAUCGGAAGGUACUUCUUUACAAUUGCAUCCUUAUCCAAAUUUGCGUUGGUGGUUGGAAAUUAUAAUGGAUAAUAAAAAUAAUAUUCCCUAAAUUCAAUUAGAUCCUUAUCCUAAUUUAAAUCAGUUUAUUUCAAUCAUUUAUCAUCAUAUCAAUUUUAUUUUUUACAUUGCAUCAACGGACCAAAUUAAACGUUUCCAAUUAUAAAGAAAGAUCAAAUUCGACCAAGUUUCCGAACAUUGUCAUUCUACCUUUCAAGAUUUCUUCUCCGCAACCAAUCGAAGCCAUGGAAUCGGUGCCAAUAUCAUUUAUUCUGAAAGAGGCCUCAAAACAUCUGAUCAACGUUCUGGGGACGGAAUUCACACUCAUAAAAAAUACUCCGGGCGAAUUGGAAAAACUGAAAAGAUUCAAGACAAUCAUCGUCACUGUUCAACGAGACGUCGCCGGUCGGGAAUUAAGCCAACAAGAUGUUGUCUGGCUGGAUGAGAUGAUAGAUGCUGCGUAUGAUAUCGAGGAUAUCGUAGAUCUGUCCAGUACAAAGAUUCUUCAACUGAGAAGCAACAACAACGAGGAAUCAACUUGUUGUAUCCAUUGGGUAAUUGAUUUCUUCUCUUGCACCUAUAAUACUCUUAUUUUUCGCCACGAAAUAGGAACUAGGGUGCAAAAUACAUUCGUUAGAUUGGCUAAUAUUGCGGAAGAGAAGAAAUACCAUCUUACUCAUAGUGGGAGGGAUGGAGUGGAAAAUCUGAGUACAAAGAUGCCAGAGACCAUUUCUGAAAUGGGUGAGGAUGUUGUACUGGGAAGAGAUCGUGAUCUCAAAAUUAUACUUGAACAAUUAUUGUUCAAAGAGAAAACAAACAUUGAUGUGCUUGUUUUAGUCGGAAUGGGUGGUGUUGGGAAGACCACACUUGCAAAACUCGUGUACAAUGAUAGCCAAGUAGAUGCUCUCUUUGGUGAAAGAAAGCUUUGGGUUUGCGUAUCAGAAAUUUUUGACUCGUCGAAAAUUAUCAAACUUGUUAUUGAGCAAAUAGAUGGAAACCCGUGUAAACUCGAAGGAUUGCAAGCGUUGAGCAAGAAAUUGAAAGAGCUUUUAGAAACAAACAUGUAUUUAUUAGUUUUGGACGAUGUUUGGACUAAUUCAAGUUUAACUUGUGAUUCUUGGUCGAUUAUGAAAUCAUUGUUUCUUAAUUGUAAGAUUCUGGUAACAACUCGUGAGGAGAAUGUAAUAUCUGUGAUUUUACCAGAACCUUACAUGCAUCGUGUGGGAUGUCUACCUGAGGAUGCUUCAUGGUCAUUGUUCAAGAAUAUUGCAUUUUCCAAUGGUAACGUUCCAGAGGAAUUGAAAGAUAUCAGCAAAAGUAUUGUGAAAAAAUGCAAAGGUGUACCUUUAGCUGUGAGGGUUCUUGGUAGCAUGAUGCGUAACCAAAAUUUUACUUACUGGAAAGAGAUUGAGAAAAACAAUAUUCUUGAUCUUAAUAUUGAAGGUGAAAAUAGAAUAUCCAAGAUUCUAAAAUUCAGCUAUCAUAAUCUUCCUUUAAAGUCAAAGUUUUGCUUUGUCGAUCUACUGUUCUAUUUUCCCCAAAGAUUCAGUUAUGAAGAAAAUAAAAUUGAUCCAACAAUGGGCUGGCAAUGGUUUUAUUUCGCUGAACGAGGGAAAUAAGAUUUUCGAAGAUUUAUUGUCAAGAUGUUUCUUCCAAGAUGUCGAGAAAGAUGAUUACGGCAGCAUUACAAUAUUUAAGAUGCAUGAUUUAAUCCAUGACCUUGCUGAAUCGAUUGCUAAGUCUCUGCAAUGUGGAAUCUUCGAUGAUAGAAUUCAAGAUAGAAAUUUAUCGGAUAGAAAACAAGUUCGUUAUUUAUCGAUAAUAUUAAACAUGGGAGAAGGAGAAGAAUUUUCUUAUUCAGAUAUUUCGAGUAAAUUACGAACAUUGCAGUUGUUAACUUCUACAUUAGUAACUAUGACAUUUCUGGAUAAUUGCUUCACCAAGUUCAAAUUCUUACGGGUUUUGGUUUGUAGUUAUCAGUAUGGUUUUGAAGAGAUUCCAUCUUCCAUCGACAACCUCAAGCUUCUGAGAUAUGUUGACUUCUGUCAUACAGGUAUAACACGACUCCCAGAAACGGUCUGCAACCUUCAAAAUUUACAGACGUUGAAACUCAACAAUUGUCGAGAUCUUAUUGUUUUGUCAAAGAAGCUGGGAAAAUUAUCCGAGUUAAGGUAUUUGGAAAAUGAUGAUUGUAUAAGUUUGGAUUCAAUGCCUGUUGGGAUGGAUCGUUUGAGUCUUUUGCAGACAUUGAAUACUUUUGUAGUAAAUGAUGGAGGAAAAAAUUUAAAUGAAUUACGACAUCUGGAUCAUCUAGAAGGAAGUCUUUGUAUAAAACAUCUUGACAGAAUUCAAAAUGUUGUUUUGGAAAAUGGAAUACUAAAUAGAAAGAGCAAUCUUGUAUCAUUGGACCUGAUAUGGGGAUUAUGGAUACAAUCUAAAAGAAGGGAUUAUGGAAAAGUGUUAGAAGCUUUACAACCACAUCCCAAUUUGAAAUAUUUAAAUAUAAAUGGGUUUGAUGGAUUCUUCAUUCCCUUAGACAUGAGUUGUCUAAAAUCCCUUACAUAUUUAGUGAUUUUACAUUGUAAAAACCUUACAUGUCUUCCAAACAACAUAGGUUCUCUUAAAUCCCUUACACAUUUAGAGAUUUAUUAUUGUCCAAAUGUCACCUCUCUUCCCAACGACAUGAGUUGUCUAAAAUCCCUUACACAUUUAGUGAUUUUACAUUGUAAAAACCUUACAUGUUUUCCAAACAACAUAGGUUCUCUUAAAUCCCUUACACAUUUAGAUAUUUCAUGUUGUGAAAACCUUACAUGUCUUCCAAACAACAUGGGUUCUCUUAAAUCCCUUACACAUUUAGAGAUUUCAGGUUGUAAAAACCUUACAUGUCUUCCAGACAACAUGGGUUCUCUUAAAUCCCUUACAUAUUUAAAGAUUUUAAGAUGUAAAAACCUUACAUGUCUUCCAAACAGCAUGGGUUCUCUUAAAUCCCUUACAUAUUUAAAGAUUUUAAGAUGUAAAAACCUUACAUGUCUUCCAAACAGCAUGUGUUCUCUUAAAUCCCUUACAUAUUUAGAGAUUAAAUUUUGUAAAAACCUUACAUGUCUUCCAAACAACAUGGGUUCUUUUAAAUCCCUUACACAUUUAGUGAUUUAUUAUUGUCCAAAUCUCACCUCUCUUCCCAACGACAUGGGUUCUCUUAAAUCCCUUACACAUUUAAAGAUUUCAUCUUGUAAAAAGCUCACAUGUCUUCCAAACAACAUGGGUUCUCUUAAAUCCCUUAUACAUUUACAGAUUUCAUAUUGUGAAAACCUUUCAUGUCUUCCAAACAACAUGGGUUCUCUUAAAUCCCUUACACAUUUAGAAAUUUCAAAUUGUAAAAACCUUACAUGUCUUCCAAACAACAUGGGUUCUCUUAAAUCCCUUACACAUUUAGAGAUUUCAAAUUGUUAAAACCUCAUAUGUCUUCCAAACAAUAUGGGUUCUCUUAAAUCCCUUACACAUUUAGAGAUUUCAUUUUGUGAAAACCUUACAUGUCUUCCAAACAACAUGGGUUGUCUCCAAUCCCUUACACCUUUAACAAUUGAAUCUUGUCCAAGUUUGGUUGAUAAUUCUUUUGCCCUGGAAUGUCUUACUUCUCUAAAAGAAAUAGAAGUGGCCGGCUGUGAUCAAUGGAUUAGAAAUUGGUCUGACGAUGCAAUAACCAGAUUUUUCUCAGUUGAAGAAGGUUCAUUGAUUUCGAUAUGCAUUAAGGAUGAUGAUAUUGAUUUAUUGUCUAGAUGGUUACGAAAGAAGAUUGAAUAUUCCACCAAAAUAACACAAACAUUGAUAAUCAACGGUGAUCAUCGAGGCAGUGAUUUCUAUAGAGGGAGACACCAUCUCAGUAUUUGUUGUUUUAAACAAGAGAAAUUACCAGAAGAGUUGGUGCAUGUUCAGGAUCUUCAAAUCAUGGCCGUUGAAAAUUGUCCAAAUCUAAAUUGCUUGCCGAAUGGGAUGAAAAAACCACAAUUUUUGAAAAUUGAGAAUUGCCCGAUGUUGGAGAAGAAUUGUGAAGAAAGAGGUUACGAGUAUGGUGAUGAAAUUGAAUCAAUCAUGACCUUUCAUAAUUUUUAAAAUAAAUUAAUCAUCUCACAACCGUUCAUUUAUUAUUAUUAUUAUUUUCUCUAUUAGAGUAUACCACUGUGUAAACUGUUUUUUUCUUCUUCCGUUUAUCGGUAAAUAACGAUAUUUUUCGUACGAAUAUGUCGUUCACAGAAACAUCUCGUACAAUGUUUUUAAAUUUCACUAUACCUCCGAUCGCUCUCUGUUUCUUUCUCAUUUAUGCUUUUUGAUUUUCUCUCUCCUCCCCUUCGCCGCCUAAAUCGUUCGCCGAGAAAUCGCCCGUCGAAAUCAUCCGCCAAACGCUCGUGCGAAGUCGUGUCCUCGCCGAUAUCGUCGUCUCCAAGUCUCCCCCGUCUUCCCAAGUCCAAAUCUCACGUUCUCGUCGUCUUCAUUGUUCCCAAGUCCUCGUCGAUCUUGUCCGCACCAUAUUCGUCUUCAUCUUAAAGUCUUAAAGUACGUAUUCGAAACCGCCGCCGUUGUCGAUGUCAUUAUUUUUUGGGUAUCCACUGACGGCGUCUUCAUCUUCUACAUUUGAAUAAACCAAACCCAUGCAUAUUUGUCAAUGAUGUAUUGUCUUCCGUCAAGGUAGCGGAACACUUUUUGAUCCCACCAUAUUCUUUGAUUGGAUCGAACCAGAGGUAGAUUCUUUGCUCUCUAUCUCCCUUUCCACCUGUGAUCGAUCGAACACGUUGGUCUGAACAAUUAAUGUAUGGCUCUUUGAGUUUUUUUUCCCAAGAACUCGAAGUCAAUCUCAUCGUGUUCAGAAUUCUGUGACUGAAGACUGAAGAAGAAGAACCACGAGGAUGGUGCAUGGUGGUGGUGAGAUAAUGAGAUUUAUCAGUACUGGUGAGAAUGAAAAACAUAGACUUACAUAGAAUGCAGUGGCUGUUCCGGCAAAAUCCCCGGGAACCAUCUUAAUCUGUAUACUCAAGUGUCCAAACAGGUAAGACCAUAUAUAAUUUUUCCUAUUAAUCUUCUAGCUGCCUCUCUAAUUUUUGCUUCUUUUCUAAUUUUUUUUUUAUAUCUUUGAAUAAUUUAAAUCUAGUUAAGUUACACUUCUUUUCAAAUUCAAACUCUUAUUUUCACAUUUAGGGGAGUGGGUCGGGUCAAACCUGAAUUCGAACAUGUCGGGUCUAAGUUUGGUUGGAUAUUAUCGGUCAUAAAACCCGAUAUACCUGAACCCGAGUUUUUUUCACCCGAUAUGAAGGACUUGAACCUGAGUUUUUUUCACUUGAUUUUUUUCGGGUCGGGUUCAGAUAAGACGUCCCGAACCAAACUCGACUCUCCUUAAACCCGAAUUUUUUUAUAAAAAUAUCUUAAAAUAAAAAUAACGACGUCUGCAAGGGGAUUGACUGUAACAUCUGCGAUCUCCAUUCCAACAGAAAAAAAAUUAGUAAAUUUGAAAGAAAAAAACGAAAAUGAAAUUCCCUAAAUCUUCACUGCACAAAUUGGUAAAAUUGAAAUUGAAUUUCAUUAAAGAAUAUGAUUUAACAUUACAUCUUUUAUCUUUACAUAGCCUUAGACUUAACCUCUAACUAUAUAUAACUGCCUAACUGUAUUCUAAACUCAUUUAUAACUUCAUUCUCUAAUACUGAUUACUGUACAUUUUUUUCCAAUAUAUAAUAUUAAGCAAAUUUGACUACAAGCAUCAAAACUGAGGAUCAAAAUUUUCAAGACGAGGAAAAAAAACGAAAUUAAAAUUAGAAUAGUAUGUUGAUGUUCUCACCUAAUUUGACAUUAUCAAGAGAGUUGAAUAUGGAUAUAAUGUCAUAUAAUGGUAGAAAACAAUGAAUUAAUUUAAACAACAUUUAUCAAUCAAAUCCAUCAAUCAGACCAUCAACUGCAAGUUAAUUUCAUGUGUUGAACUCAAUUAAACAAUACUGAACAACCAGAAUGUGAAAUUCAUGGUGAUCGCGACAAUAACAUAUUACCAGUUAUUGCUAGUACGUAUUAUGCAGUCAUUCUAAGUUGUUUUUCAGCUUACAACAUUUAUUUUGCUAAACUCUCAUCCUGAUGUUUUCUGCAGCUUUUACUUGAAACAAGUGUGGAUGUUCCUGAAAAAUAAAACAUGAUCAGCAAAAUCUAAACAACUUUUCCAAUAACCUUUAUUUAAAAACACUUUUCCAAUGAUCAAACAAUAUCCUCAAACCAAUUAAUUCCACUUUAUUAUUUCACCCUUUCAUUUUGAAUUCAAACAAAAGAUUAAUAAAAUAAAUCAACUGUGCUUUAUUCAUAAAUAUCAAACUAUCCCACAAUAAAUGCAUCAAAAUGAAAACAAAAAAGACAAUGCUUUUACCAUUGCUUCUCGAGCAGUGAGCCUGUCCUGAUGAUCAAUCAUAGCGAAGCAGCUUGUUAAGAAAAUCUAUGGCCUGUAUAUUUCUUUGAGUAAACAAGUGUUUAAAGGUUCGGAGUUUAACUAUUUGUUAGCUCAGGAGAAACUAAAUGUUGAUUGUCUCCAUUAAUGAAUUUGGACCAUGCUUUCCUGCUAUGCCUGGAAAUAUAUUAAUAUUAACAAACAUAUAUAUCACAUGUUUUCAUGUCUCCAAUUCUUUUAAUGAAUAUUUAUCUAUUUAAGAAAUUAAGAUAAAAACAGUAUAAUUCAAUAUCUCGUCGUCGUCAUCGUCGGAUCCAUCUUUAGAUUUGACUAUUUGAGUUUUUGACUAAUAAUUAUUUGAUGUUUUAUCUUAUUUAAAAUUUUAAAAAUUAUUUAAGAAUUAUUUGAUCAAAUUUUUCAUAUUAUGUAAAUAACAGAGUUUUUUAUGCAAAAUGUGAAAAAAAUUAUUAAACUCGAACACGACCAAACCCUACAUUCAAAUCGAGUUUUAUAAUUUUAGAUGUUCGCGAGUUUUGACUUGAACCCGAUUUUAAAACUUAGGUUCGAUUUUGGGUCAGGGCAAACCCAAGCCAUGCCCAUUCCUAAUUCAACUCUGAUGGAUCGUGGCUUACAAAUCGGGCGCUCACACACACACACACACACAAUUCUCUCUCUCAAGGAUUUAGUGUAUUCUCUCUCUAUUUUCCAGCCCGGCCCCUCCCUUGUUGGACCAGGGGAGGAAUUUAUAGGUUCAUCCCCGUGCCUCUUGGCUUAUAGACCUCCCUUGGCCCAGGCCCGUCGUGCGGUCGAGCCCGUGGUCGGUUCGGUCCAUGAUCCGUUGGACGGACCACGGCACCAACAAACUCAUAUUAUUAUUACCAUCAUACCAUUAAGGAUGAUUUUAUCGUUAAAUCCUUGUAGUGUUUUUAUUUUUACAUCGAAUUGACGAGUUUUAAUUUUAAUGGAAUGCUAGAGAAAGGAGACGGAUAGUUGAUAAAAUAUUUGUUUAGUAUUUGAAAGGUCAUGGGUUCAAUUUCCCAUGUAUCCAAAUAAUUAUUUCUUUUAAUUCGAGUCCAGACUCGUGGGCUCGAGUCUGACAAUUUUUAAAACGAGCCCGACCUCGACCAAACCAGGCUCGGCGAGCUCGAGUCCGAGCCUGGAUAAUUUCUUAAAGAGCCGAGCCCGAGCCUGACUUUAUAAGCAAAAGCUCGACUCGGCUCGUUUGACACCCUAGAGCCAGGGUAGUAGCUAUUACUGCAAUAUUAUAUGAGUACAUAAGUAGACAGAUAACCAGAAUAAAGGUUUUUUCCAGAAUAUUAAAAGAUGCAAGUCACACUGAUUUUUUUAAUCCAUAAUCUGUUGUUCUACACUUCAACAUCAUCUCAUUACAGAUUGCAAAUUUGCAAGGGGGUAUAAGAAGACGAAUCUGCACAUUAGUUUAGUAAUUGUAAUAAUUGUCAAUCAACUAAAAUCGGAAAGUAAAUCCUAAAUCAUAACUACUUACCAAAUCAACUAGCAUGGGGUUAAUUAUGAAUAUCCCUUAAACAUAAUAAAAUAUUAAAUGCAAUAUAUGGGGUGGACGUGCAUGGUGUGCAUUGAGAGUAAAUUUUUUAAUAAACGUACUCGUCUAACUUGGAUGUCUUUUUUGCUCGUUUGGCCAAGAAAAUAACAAGCUAUAUGCCAACAAAUUCGUUGAAUCGUCAAACUCAAUAAUAAUGCCAUAAGAUCGACAAUGAGUCAUGUUCAAAGAAAAACCUGUGGACCAUGGCUGAUUGACUAUUCCUUUAAAUGGUUCUUAAUUUAUAAGGGUGAGCCUGGGUCGGUUCAAAUCCGAACCCGGCGAAUCCGACCCGAACCCAAACAUGUUGGGUGUCGAACCCGAAUUUUUUUCACCCAAUUCAACCGAAACCUGAAUUUUUUUAUAAAAAAACCUUAAAAUAUAAAUAAUUAUAUAAAUAAAAUUUUAUUUUAUAUAAAAUAUUUUAUAAAAAUUUAAUAUACACAUUUAUUAAAUUUUUUUCUUCUUUUAAAAUCUAAACCCUAAUAUUAUUAUCAUUUUCCUAUAUAUUCUCUUCCAUUUUCAUCUUUCCUUUCCUCACCGUCGUUUUCGCCUAAUAAUUAUUUAAUAUUUUAAAAAUUAUUUGAUCAAAUUAUUUAAAUAACAAGGAUUUUUAUGCAAAAUUUUUAAAAAAUAUCAAAUCCGGCCCCGAACCCGACCAAAUCCGACAUCCAAUUCAGGUUCGGGUUAUAUAAUUUUAGAUGUUCCCGAUUUUGACUCGAACUCGAUUUCGGAUCAUGGCAAAUCCGACCCAUAUCCAUUCCUAGUUCUUUAUUCAUAGCUCACAUUUAUUUAAUCUUUUUUUUGUCGUUUUCUAUUAUUUAAUAACGUAGGAGUUAAGACCAAAUGGGCUCCGUAACUUUUCUCUCUCUCUAUAUAUAUAAAAUUGUUAUACCAGAGCCAAAUAAUAUAUUAUCGGAUAAAUCUAAUUGAAACGGAUAUCAAUUUUACUAUCUGGUUUGUAAUCAGGCAGAAACGGAUAUGUAUAUAGUAGUGAUAUUCGUCGUUAACUACCAAUAUAUAAACGUUAUAUGUAUAAAUUAAUAAAAUUAGAAUAGUUAAAUAUAAAAAUUUAAAUAACUCAUUCAAUAUUAAAUUAUUAGAAUUUAAACUCUCAUUUUCACAUUUAAAAUUUAUUUACAAUAUUCAACUUAGGGGUGGGACCCGAAUCUGAACAUAUUCAUUCCUAAUUCAACGACUCUUAUAUUAUUAUUACUAUCAUACCAUUAAGGAUAAUUUUAUAGUUAAAUCCUUGUAGUGUUUUAUUUUUACAUUAAAUUGACGAGUUUUAGUUUUAACGGAAUUCUAGAGGAGAAAGGAGACUAUGGAACAGGAACUAUCAGAUGAGAGCCAUAUAGGGGUAGUAGUCAUUUUUUGCGUUUUUCAAACUUAAAAUGAAAUUAUAUGAAAAUCAGUUGUUAAUAAUGAUACAGAUAAAUGAUUGUCUCAAUUAAACAUUUAAACCCUUAUAUAUCACUUCUAUGAAGGUUUUUAACUAUAAAUAAGGAAAAUUAUAUAUUGAUAUAGUUCGUAUACUUAUAAUCGAAAGUCAAACUCAAUAAUAAGGCGAAAGAAGACGACUGGUUCAUUUUUUAUGUGCGUCACGUAGGACCAUCUAGACACGGAGAAUGACGUUAUGUGGUUGGUUGAGUGAUCAAGUUGCGUGGAUGGUUGGAAAUUAUAAUGGAUAAUAAAAAUAAUAUUCCCUAAAUUCAAUUAGAUCCUUAUCCUAAUUUAAAUCAGUUUAUUUCAAUCACUUAAUUUUAUUUUUUUCAAUGCAUCAACGGACCAAAUUAAACGUUUCCAAUUAUAAAGAAAGAUCAAAUUUGACCACCGGUUCCGAAUAUUGUCAUUCUACCUUUCAAAAUUUCUUCUCCGCAAACGAUCGAAGCCAUGGAAUCGGUGCUAUCAUUUCCUCUGGGAGAGGCCUCAAAAAGUCUCAUGAAAACUCUGGGGGCGGAAAUCACACUCAUAAAAAAUGCUCCGGACGAAUUGGAAAACCUGAAAAGACUCAAGACUGUCAUCGCCAAUGUUCAACAAGACGUUGCCGGCCAGGAAUUAAGCCAACAACAUGCUGGUUGGCUCGAUGAGAUGAUUGAUGCUGCGUAUGAUAUCGAGGAUAUCAUAGAUCUGUCUAGUACAGAGAUUCUUCGACGGAGAAGCUACAACAACAGGAAAUUAACUCGUUAUACCUGCCGGGUAAUUGAUUUUUUUUCUUACACCAACAAUCCUCUUAUUUUUCGCCACAAAAUAGGAAAAAGUGUGCAAAAAACAUUCGCUAGAUUGGCUAAUAUUGCGAAAGAGAAGGGAUACCAUCUUACUCUUAGCGGGAGGGAUGGAGUGGAAAAUCUGAGUACAAAGAUGCCAGAGACCUUUUCUGAAAUGGGUGGGGAUGUUGUACUGGGAAGAGAUCAUGAUCUCAAAAUUAUACUUGAACAAUUAUUGUUUAAAGAGGAAACAAACAUCGAGGUGCUUGUUUUAGUCGGAAUGGGUGGUGUUGGGAAGACUGCACUUGCAAAACUAGUGUACAAUAAUAGUCAAGUAGAUGCUCUCUUUGGUGAAAGAAAGCUUUGGGUUUGCGUAUCAGAAAUUUUUGAUCUGUCGAAAAUUUGCAAACAUGUUAUUGAGCAAAUAGAUGGAGAGUGUAAAGUCAAAGGAUUGCAAGCGUUGAGCAAGAAAUUAAAAGAGCUUUUACAAACAAACAUAUAUUUAUUAGUUUUGGACGAUGUUUGGACCAAUUCAAGUUUAACUUUGGAUUCUUGGUCGAAUAUGAAAUUAUUGUUUCAUAAUUGUAAGAUUCUGCUAACAACUCGUGAGGAGAAUGUAAAAUCUGUGAUUUUACCAGAACCCUACAUGCAUCGUGUGGGAUGUCUACCUGAGGAUGCUUCCUGGUCAUUGUUCAAGAAUAUUGCAUUUUCCAAUGGUAACGUUCCAGAGGAAUUGAAAGACAUCAGCAAAAGUAUUAUGAAAAAAUGCAAAGGUGUACCUCUAGCUGUGAGGGUUCUUGGUAGCAUGAUGCGUAAAAAAAAUUUUAUUUACUGGAAAGAGAUUGAGAAAAACAAUAUUUUUGAUCCUAAUAUUGAAGGUGAAAAUAGAAUAUUCUCAAUUCUAAAAUUCAGCUAUCAUAAUCUUCCUUUAAAGUCAAAGUUUUGCUUUGUCUACUGUUCUAUUUUCCCCAAAGAUUCGGAUAUAGAGAAAAUAGAAUUGAUCCAACAAUGGGCAGGCAAUGGUUUUAUUUCGCUUAACGAGGGAAAUAAGAUUUUCGAAGAUUUAUUGUCAAGAUGUUUCUUCCAAGAUGUCGAGAAAGAUGUUUACGGAAGCAUUACAACAUUUAAAAUGCAUAAUUUAAUCCAUGACCUUGCUGAAGCGAUUGCUAAGUCUCUGCAGUAUGGAAUCUUCGAUGACAGUAUUCGAGAUAGAAAGCAAGUUCGUUAUUUAUCGAUGAUAUUAAACAUGGGAGAAGAAGUUUCUUAUUCAGAUAUUUCAAUCAAAUUGAAAGAUGCAUGUGUAUUACGAACAUUGCAGUCUUCAUCUUCUGAUAUAGUAAGUGAGAAAUUUCUGGAUAAUUGCUUCACCAAGUUCAAAUUCUUGCGGGUUUUGGUUUGUAGUGGUCAGUAUAAGCUUAAACAUGUUCCAGCUUCCAUCGACAACCUCAAGCUUCUGAGAUACGUUGACUUCUCUUAUAUGGGCAUAACAAGACUCCCAGAAACGAUAUGCAACCUUCCAAAUUUACAGACGUUGAAAAUCAACUAUUGCUUUAAUCUUACUGUUUUGCCAAAGAAGUUGAGAAAAUUAUCCGAGUUAAGGUAUUUGGAAAAUGAUAGAUGUAUUGGUUUGGAUUCAAUGCCUGUUGGGAUAGAUCGCUUGAGUCUUUUGCAAACAUUGAAUACUUUCGUAGUGAAUGAUGGAGGAACAAAUUUAAAUGAAUUAAGACAUCUGGAUCAUCUAAAAAGAAGUCUUUGUAUACGAAAUCUUGACAGAAUUCAAAAUGUUGUUUUGGAAAAUGGAAUAUUAAAUAGAAAGAACAAUCUUGCAUCAUUGGAGCUGUUAUGGAGAUUGCAGGAAGAAAAUGAAGUAACGAAUCAGAAUGAUGAAAAAGUAUUACAAGCUUUACAACCACAUCCCAAUUUGAAAUCUUUAAAUAUAACCAGGUUUAAUGGAUUCUUCAUUCCCUUAGACAUGAGUUGUCUCCAAUCCCUUAUCUACAUGAAGAUUUCUGAUUGUAAAAACCUUACCACUCUUCCCAACGACAUAUGUUCUUUCCAAUCCCUUACACAUUUAAAGAUUAAAAAGUGUUACAACCUCACCUCUCUUUCCAACGACAUGUGUUCUCUCCAAUCCCUUACACAUUUAAAGAUUAAACAUUGUUACAACCUCACCUCUCUUCCCAACGACAUGUGUUCUCUCCAAUCCCUUACACAUUUAAAGAUUUCUUAUUGUCGAAACCUCACUACUCUUCCCAACGACGUGUGUUUUCUCCAAUCCCUUACACAUUUAAAGAUUUCUGAUUGUCGAAACCUCACCACUCUUUCCAACGACAUGGGUUGUUUCCAAUCCCUUACACAUUUAGAGAUUUCUUCUUUUGAAAACCUUACCUCUCUUUUCAACGACAUGAGUUUUCUCCAAUCCCUUACACAUUUAAAGAUUAAAGAUUUUGAAAACCUCACCUCUCUUCCCAACGACAUGGGUUGUCUCCAAUCCCUUACACAUUUAGAGAUUUCUUCUUUUGAAAACCUUACCUCUCUUCCCAACGACAUGAGUUCUCUCCAAUCCCUUAUACAUUUAAAGAUUAAAGAUUUUGAAAACCUCACCUCUCUUCCCAACGACAUGGGUUGUCUCCAAUCCCUUACACAUUUAGUGAUUGUUCAUUGUCAAAAUCUUACAUCUCUUCCCAACGACAUAUGUCGUCUCAAGUCCCUCACUACUUUAACAAUUAAAUCUUGUCCAAGUUUGGUUGAUGUUUCUUUUUCUUUGGAAUAUCUUACUUCUCUAAAAGAAAUAGAAGUGGCCGACUGUGAUCAAUGGAUUAGAAAUUGGUCUGACGAUGCAAUAAGCAGAAUUUGCUCAGUUGAAAAACAUUCAUGGAUUUCGAUAUGCAGUAAGGAUGAUGAUUUAUUGUCUAGAUGGUUACGAAAGAAGAUCAAUUCCACCAAAAUAUUAGAUAGAUUGCAUAUCAACGGUGGCCAUGGAAACAAUAAUUUUUCUUUAAUGUACGUGCCACACGAGCUCAGUAUUUGUUGUUUUAAACAAAAGAAAUUGCCAGAAGAGUUGGUGCAUGUUCAGGAUCUUAAAUAUUUGUGCAUUGAAAAUUGUCCAAAUAUAAGUUACUUGCCGGAUGGGAUGAAAAAACCACAGUUUUUGUGGAUUGAAGAUUGCCCAAUGUUGGAGAGGUAUUGUAAAAAAAGACGUUACAAGUAUGAUGAUUAUAAUUAAUUCUUCACUUAAUCCAAGAAGAGCUAGCAGAUUUUAUCUUGAUGAACAUAUUUCUACCACAACAAUUCCAAUGGUAAAACUUCGUUUUUUUACUCAUUGUGUUUUAACAGGAUUUUUUGGAACUGUUUGUAAUUAGUUGAUUUUUUCGGAACUGAUAGAUUUUCUACCGGUUACAUAUACUCCUUACUAUCGGACCUGGUUCGUAUUUCUUCAUCAGCGGUGUUUCCACACAUUGCAAAAAAGGACAGAAGAUGAUCGUCAAGGUUUGAUCUACUUAUAUUAACCAUGUUCCGUCAGAAUCUCCAUCAGAAUCGCCGUCUUCGUUUCUUACAAAUCGAACUGACUCCACUCCUGCAUCUUCUCCUGAAACGCCGAAGCCGAAGUCCAACGAUGUUGUUGCGACUAACAUCUUCUUUGCAUUGUCGCCUCUUUGUGCGGUCUUGUAUCUUUCUUCUUUCUUUGAUUGUUGUAGAAUCUAUUUUUGUUUGAUUGUUGAAUAAUCUUUUUUUUAAACUUUCUUUCUGCUACGACUCCCUGAGCAUAGUGGAUCUGCUACGACUCUCUGAGUCUUACACUUGAAAUGAUUUCUAUAAACUUGAUUAAAUGGAAUACUAAGAUUCUCUGCAUCACUUAUACCAUAUUUUCAAAUAGCGUUUUGCCCUAGCCGGAUCUGAGUACGGAUCUGCUCCAAUAUCAUUGAUUUUUUUUAAUCUGUUUUAAAAAUAGAUUAGGGCUCCCAAUGGUCAUACUCUCCUUCUUCCUCCACCAGUCAUCCUUCUUCCAUUGGCUAGGCUUCCUCCAACCAGCGACCUUCUUCUCUGGUGACCUCAGGUGACAUCCAGGGAACAGUUUUUUCCGACCAGAACUUUCAUUUUUGUAGGAACAUCAUUUCCUUGAGUUUUUCUGUUUUUUGUAACUACUAUUAUAUAUAUGAGGAUUAUUUUUGGGUAGCCCCUUAAACUUAUUUUUGGAUGCCCCAAUCAUAAACCAACGAAUGAUGAUUAUCAAAUGGCGGGAAGAGGUAUUUAAUUGGGUUUUGAAAAUCAAAUUGGUCUCAAUCUUUAUUUAUAAUUAUUUUAUAUAUAUUAUCAUGGUUUAAAUCAUAUCUUAUCUUCCAAUUCAGCUGCGUUUUACAAACUUGGAUGAUAUCUACUUGUUCAAUUUCAUCUAUCUUCGGAAGUGAAAGACAAAGUAGUUGAGUUAAUGGUUUGAUCAGGUCGUAUAUUAAUUUCAACUUUGAUUUUUUCCCAAAGAGAUUCCUUUCAUUUUAGCCGAUGAGGAUCAGAAUCUCUAGUAAAUAUCACAUAAAUGGUUGGCCAAUGUUGAUUGUCUCCAUUAAUGAAUUUGGACCAUGCUUUCCUGCUAUGCCUGGAAAUAUAUUAAUAUUAACAAACAUAUAUAUCACAUGUUUUCAUGUCUCCAAUUCUUUGUUAAUGAAUAUUUAUCUAUUUAAGAAAUUAAGAUAAAAACAGUAUAAUUCAUUAUCUUAUACCUCCCAACAAGUGUUUGAAGUUGAGGAUCGAUCAAGCUCCAAAUGGUAUUUUUUAGAUAAGAAUCUAGUUCAUCUGUUCCAAGAACCUGAAAAAUAAAAUAGGAACGUACAUGGUUUUUUGUUUGAUCGAUAUACAAAGAGCUAAAAAACUUCAAUCAUUUAAUUAAAGCAUACCACCAGAUGACAAUCGAUGAUAAAUCACAAAGAAUUAACGAUAGAAUUCAUUGAUGGGAAUAAGAGAGUGCUGCUACAGGGAGAUCCCUAUCUGUCGGAAUCAGAAAUUAUGUACAAAAUCGAGUUUUUUUGUUGUCUCCAAAACUACUAGUUAUUGUAUUUAUCUACCGUGGGAUGUUUAUUUGAAAUCUGUCUAUCUUGGUGUAGACGUAUGUCUAUGGUGAUCUCUAUCGCUGUGGUGAUCUCUAUAGACGUACUAGCAGAUUUCUAGUCCUAAUAGCCCACCUCCCCGCAGUGCACACCAAGAAGUUGCUUGGAAGGAUCAUCUAUAUAUGUUUGGUAAGUUAAGUUGUACUUGAAGUGCUAUUAUUUAAUGACAUGAACAUAUUAUUUAAUCAAAUUAAGUUGUAAUAUAUAAAUAAAUACCACUAAGUGAAUUUUAAAAUGCUUAAUUCCCUUAACCCAACUUCCGUUUCUCAAUCUCUACAUGGUAUC